rnacentral:rRNA from 1 species
UACGUAGGGGGCAAGCGUUGUCCGGAAUCAUUGGGCGUAAAGCGCGUGUAGGCGGUUCAGUAAGUCUGCUGUGAAAGUCCAGGGCUCAACCCUGGGAUGCCGGUGGAUACUGCUGGGCUAGAGUACGGAAGAGGCGAGUGGAAUUCCCGGUGUAGCGGUGAAAUGCGCAGAUAUCGGGAGGAACACCUAUUGCGAAGGCAGCUCGCUGGGACGUUACUGACGCUGAGACGCGAAAGCGUGGGGAGCGAACAGG